rnacentral:rRNA from 1 species
GAUGAACGCUAGCGGCAGGCUUAAUACAUGCAAGUCGAGGGACAGCACAGGUAGCAAUACUGGGUGGUAACCGGCAAACGGGUGCGGAACACGUACACAACCUUCCUUUAAGUGGGGGAUAGCCCAGAGAAAUUUGGAUUAAUACCCCGUAAUAUCGUUGAAUGGCAUCAUUUGAUUAUUAUAGCUACGGCGCUUAAUGAUGGUUGUGCGGCUGAUUAGAUAGUUGGCGGGGGAACGGCCCACCAAGUCUAGGAUCAGUAGCUGAUGUGAGAUCAAGAUCAGCCACACGGGCACUGAGACACGGGCCCGACUCCUACGGGAGGCAGCAUUAAGGGAUAUUGGUCAAUGGACGCAAGUCUGAACCAGCCAUGCCGCGUGAAGGAUUAAGGUCCUCUGGAUUGUAAACUUCUUUUAUUUGGGACGAAAAAGGGCCUUUCUAGGUCAACUGACGGUACCAGAUGAAUAAGCACCGGCUAACUCCGUGCCAGCAGCCGCCGUAACAC